rnacentral:misc_RNA from 1 species
GAUGAAGAACGCAGCGAAAUGCGAUAAAUAAUGUGAAUUGCAGAAUUCAGUGAAUCAUCGAGUCUUUGAACGCACAUUGCGCCCCCUGGUAUUCCGGGGGGCAUGCCUGUCCGAGCGUCAUUGCUGCCCUCAAGCACGGCUUGUGUGUUGGGCCCCCGUCCCCCCCUCCCGGGGGACGGGCCCGAAAGGCAGCGGCGGCACCGCGUCCGGUCCUCGAGCGUAUGGGGCUUUGUCACCCGCUCUGUAGGCCCGGCCGGCGCCUGCCGACCACCAGCAAUCUUUUUUCAGGUUGACCUCGGAUCAGGUAGGGAUACCCGCUGAACUUAAGCAUAUCAAUAAGCGGAGGA